rnacentral:rRNA from 1 species
GUAUAGUGACAUAUUUAAAAGUUAUAUAACAGAGCCUGAUCCCGUUUGAUCUCGGAAGCUAAGCAGGGUCAGGCCUGGUUAGUACUUGGAUGGGAGACCACCUAGGAAGACCAGGUGCUGUAAGCG